rnacentral:rRNA from 1 species
CUGCAAGUCGAACGGUUCCUUCGGGGAUAGUGGCGGACGGGUGAGUAACGCGUGAGGAUCUGGCUACAGGACGGGGACAACGAAUGGAAACGUUCGCUAAUACCCGAUGUGCCGAGAGGUGAAAGAUUUAUUGCCUGUAGAUGAACUCGCGUCGGAUUAGCUAGUUGGUGGGGUAAGGGCCUACCAAGGCGACGAUCCGUAGCUGGUCUAAGAGGAUGAUCAGCCACACUGGGACUGAGACACGGCCCAGACUCCUACGGGAGGCAGCAGUGGGGAAUUUUCCGCAAUGGGGGGAACCCUGACGGAGCAACGCCGCGUGCGGGAGGAAGGCCUUCGGGUUGUAAACCGCUUUUCUCUGGGAAGAAGAA